rnacentral:lncRNA from 1 species
UUCAGAAGCAUGGUUCCUGGGGUGAGAGGAUUGCUGAUUGGCUGAUUUUCAGAACAAAAUAGUGUCAGAGACGACUUCCUUCACCAGGGAAACAUCUUCUGUCCCCUCUCUCUCAGCUGAGGAGCCCAACACUCCUCUCUCGCUUGUCAACUUCUUACCAGAGAAGAGAGUUCCCGGCCAAGGAUCCCCAUGAGUCUCUUGGAUUAUGUCAUCCAGAGAGUUCCAGGAAGCAGUGGGGGGUGAAGGAACCAGAUGAGGCUGCCAACCCAGCAACACUUGCUCUAACCUCGGAAUUGCUUGCUUAGGAUGAAAGGCCAACCCUCCAGUCACUGAGGUUGACGAUCGUAGGAAGCAAGUGUGGAAGCAGGGCGACCAGUGAGGAGAUGGCUGCAGAGACCCAGCUGGGAGCUGAUGCUGGCCUGGCCUGGAGUGGGGGCAAAUAGAGAAUUUACAGGAAUACAUUCAUAUAUUUCCCGUGUAAUUUAAAACGAUUAAAAAGGUCCCUCAAUGAUGUGCAGAGGAAGGCUGGUGCCGACUGUCUGACUCCAGGUCAGCCCGCACUGCCCUGUGGCCCCGGAGCUGCCCUUCUCCAGAUGAUGAGCUCCAGGGUCAUUCUGAGUCACUACUGCCUUUGUCUCGAUCUCAGGGUUGAGUGGCCUCCCAGUUGUCAUGGUGCUGUUUUUUGACCCAAGGAUGGAGACCUGACUCAAGCCUAUCAAUCAGAGUGCUUCCCUGGGAAGUUGGACCAGGAACUGAUGAUUGGAGCUCUAACAUGGAACCUGUACCAUGGGUGGCCAUGGUGUUCUGCUCUGUGGGUCAGAAAAGCAGAUGGAGCUGAUCUGCAAAGCGAAAGAUAAGAACGAAGCACAUGUGUAGGCUUAGAGCAGAAGAGCUGAAACACGGAGAGUCCUGCUGGGGUUUGAGUUUCUGGUUGCAAUACAUAUUUGCCCCAGUUAAAGUCCCGUCCUUGGGUCCUGUGAGAUAUCCUGGAUCCUUAUCAUAAAUGUCAACUUUUUUCACUCCAUCUAACUCAAAUGUGUUUCUGACUACCAAAAGAGUCUGAAUAAUUUGUACUUCAAAUCUACUUCUAUCACCUCAGGUCUAAGCAGAAAUAGAUUUUCCAUGAAGUUCAUGAAGCUUAAGUUUCAGAGUUUCUCACUCACAAAGGCCCCUUCCAAAGCCCCAUUUUGUAUUUGUACUUUUUUUGUUUUAAGAUUGGCCCUGAGCUAACAUCUGUUGCUAAUCUUCCUCUUUUUUUUUCCUCCCCAAAGCCCCAGUGCAUAGUUGUACAUCCUAGUUGUAAGUGAUUCUAGUUCUUCUAUGUGGGACACUGCCUCAGCCUGGCUUGAUGAGCAGUACUAGGUCUGUGCCAGGGAUCCAAACUGGUGAACCCCUGGGCUGCCAACGUAGAGCAUGCAAACUUAACCACUUGGCCAUGGGGCUGGCCCCAGUACUUUUGUUUUCUUUUUCUUAAAGAGGGUGCCCCAAAUUGUAUAAGUUUCAGACCACAUAAAAUGUGGAUUUGCCCUGUGUAUGCUUUCCUCUCUGUAGUUGCAAAGGUUGGGUGAUUUCAGGAAGGCUCGUCCUCCAUAACACCAAACUCACGGCAACGUUAGGGCCUUUGGCGAGUCUCCUCUACCUGCAAGGUUUCUCCCCCAGACCUUUGCAGAGUUGGCUCCUUCUUAGGGAUCAGGUCUUACCUUCAGUGUCAUUGCCUCCAAGAGGCCUUCCCUGUAUACUCAGUCUAAGGAGUUCUGGGGUCUCUAUCACACCAUCCUCUUUAAUUUUCAUGACAAUUUCUCGUUUAUUCAUUUAUUUCCUUUUUGUCCAUCUCCUCCUGCUCUUUCUAAAAUGAAAGUACUGUAAGAGCAGGAACCCUGUCUUCUUUACUACUGUAUUCCCAAGCAUCUAGAAGAGCGCCUGGCACAUUGUAGGCCUUCAGUAAACAUGUGUUAGGAUUAUAUUUAUUUAUCAGAUAGUAAAGUGCUUGUGUGCUGGG